AUUAAGGUAGCUCAGCUGGCAAGAGCAUGAUACUCUUAAUCUGAGGGUUGUGGCGGGUUCAAGCUCCACUUUGGGCAAAA